UGGUUCAUAGUUUAGUUAGUUAGAGCCUGAUGCUGAUAAUGCCAAGGUCGUGGGUUCGAUUCGCUGCAUGAGCCAG